rnacentral:lncRNA from 1 species
ACGACGUUAUGAUGACAAGUUCGCCAUGUCACAACGUGGAAACCCCAAUGUCUCAACGACAGUUAAAAAUUUUUUAUGAACUAUAUGUAAGACCCAAUUUCUGCCCCGGCCCAAAUAUUAAAACAAGAUAAAUAACAGUCCAAUUACAAAGGAAAAAUAACAGGCCCAAUGUAGCCCACAGCCCAAAACUAAAAAUUUUCAGCAAACCCUGGUUUGCUUCCCCAAGCUAGCCGCCGCAAGCUUCAAUGCUUGGCCUGCACUCUGCCACACAUCCAACGCACGCCUCUGCCACUGCGUCUGACACCUCGGCCGCCUCUACCACUGCUACCUGCAAGGAAAGGUGAACACGCAACAACUAAGAAGCUAAUAAGCACAAGCAGACAACAAAAACAAACAAAAAUAGUAGAAUAGAGAGUUGUUCAAAUCGGCUAUAAAAGCCUAGAUCAAAUCCUUUUUUUUUACGCACAUAAGUCAAUCCAAACUCAGAAACCGAAUUCCAAAGGUUGAUUUUAGACUAUUUCUCUCCGUUUCUCUUUUGAUAUUUUUUCUAUUUACUUGUUUUUUUUCUUUCAAAUCCAUUUUAAAAAAUUAACAAAGAAGAUAAAAAAAAAGGAAAAGGGAAUCAACUCACCUGAAUCGGC